GACGAACGCUGGCGGCGUGCUUAACACAUGCAAGUCGAACGAUGAUGCUCCAGCUUGCUGGGGUGGAUUAGUGGCGAACGGGUUAGUAACACGUGAGUAACCUGCCCCCUUCUUCGGGAUAAGCUUGGGAAACUGGGUCUAAUACUGGAUAUUCUGCAAUUGUCGCAUGGUGGUUGUGGGAAAGAUUUUUUGGUGGGGGAUGGGCUCGCGGCCUAUCAGCUUGUUGGUGGGGUGAUGGCCUACCAAGGCGUCGACGGGUAGCCGGCCUGAGAGGGUGACCGGCCACACUGGGACUGAGAUACGGCCCAGACUCCUACGGGAGGCAGCAGUGGGGAAUAUUGCACAAUGGGCGCAAGCUUGAUGCAGCGACGCCGCGUGAGGGAUGACGGCUUUCGGGUUGUAAACCUCUUUCGAUGGGGAACAAGGCCAUAUUUUUGUGUGGUUGAGGGUACCUGUAUAAGAAGCGCCGGCUAACUACGUG
rnacentral:rRNA from 1 species